rnacentral:rRNA from 1 species
UGAAUUGACGGGGAGCAACCACAACGGGUGGAGCUUGCGGUUUAAUUUGGAUUCAACGCCGGAAAUCUUACCGGGACCGACAGCAAUAUGAAGGCCAGGCUGAAGACUUUGCCGGAUUAGCUGAGAGGUGGUGCAUGGCCGUCGUCAGUUCGUACUGUGAAGCAUCCUGUUAAGUCAGGCAACGAGCGAGACCCACGCCCACAGUUGCCAGCGUACUCUCCGGAGUGACGGGUACACUGUGGGACCGCCGCUGCUAAAGCGGAGGAAGGAAUGGGCAACGGUAGGUCAGUAUGCCCCGAAUAUCCCGGGCUACACGCGAGCUACAAUGGUUGGUACAAUGGGUAUCUACCCCGAAAGGGGACGGGAAUCUCCUAAAACCAAUCUUAGUUCGGAUUGAGGGCUGCAACUCGCCCUCAUGAAGCUGGAAUCCGUAGUAAUCGCGUUUCAACAGAACGCGGUGAAUACGUCCCUGCUCCUU